GGGAAUUUUGGACAAUGGGCGAAAGCCUGAUCCAGCAAUGCCGCGUGUGUGAAGAAGGCCUUCGGGUUGUAAAGCACUUUUGUCCGGAAAGAAAUCCUCUGGGUUAAUACCUCGGGGGGAUGACGGUACCGGAAGAAUAAGCACCGGCUAACUACGUGCCAGCAGCCGCGGUAAUACGUAGGGUGCAAGCGUUAAUCGGAAUUACUGGGCGUAAAGCGUGCGCAGGCGGUUUUGUAAGACGGAUGUGAAAUCCCCGGGCUUAACCUGGGAACUGCAUUCGUGACUGCAAGGCUAGAGUAUGGCAGAGGGGGGUAGAAUUCCACGUGUAGCAGUGAAAUGCGUAGAGAUGUGGAGGAAUACCGAUGGCGAAGGCAGCCCCCUGGGCCAAUACUGACGCUCAUGCACGAAAGCGUGGGGAGCAAACAGGA
rnacentral:rRNA from 1 species